GACGAACGCUGGCGGCGUGCUUAACACAUGCAAGUCGAACGGAAAGGCUCCAGCUUGCUGGAGUACUCGAGUGGCGAACGGGUGAGUAACACGUGGGUAAUCUGCCCUGCACUCUGGGAUAAGCCUGGGAAACUGGGUCUAAUACUGGAUAUGACCUUUCUCCUUAUGGGGUUUGGUGGAAAGUUUUUCGGUGUAGGAUGAGCCCGCGGCCUAUCAGCUUGUUGGUGGGGUGAUGGCCUACCAAGGCGACGACGGGUAGCCGGCCUGAGAGGGUGAUCGGCCACAUUGGGACUGAGAUACGGCCCAGACUCCUACGGGAGGCAGCAGUGGGGAAUAUUGCACAAUGGGCGGAAGCCUGAUGCAGCGACGCCGCGUGAGGGAUGACGGCCUUCGGGUUGUAAACCUCUUUUAGCAGGGACGAAGCGUAAGUGACGGUACCUGCAGAAGAAGCACCGGCUAACUAUGUG
rnacentral:rRNA from 1 species